UACGUAGGGUGCGAGCGUUAAUCGGAAUUCUGGGCGUAAAGCGUGCGCAGGCGGUGAUGUAAGACAGGUGUGAAAUCCCCGGGCUUAACCUGGGAAUGGCGUGGUGACUGCAAGGCUAGAGUUUGGCAGAGGGGGGGUAGAAUUCCACGUGGUAGCAGUGAAAUGCGUAGAGAUGAUGGAGGAAUACCGAUGGCGAAGGCAGGCCCCCGAUGG
rnacentral:rRNA from 1 species